CACAAGCGGCGGAGCAUGCGGAUUAAUUCGAUGCAACGCGAAGAACUUACCAAGGCUUGACAUACACCGGUAACGCCCAGAGAUGGGUGCCCCUUUGUGGUCGGUGGACAGGUGGUGCAUGGUUGUCGUCAGCUCGUGUCGUGAGAUGUUGGGUUAAGUCCCGCAACGAGCGCAACCCUCGUCCUAUGUUGCCAGCGGGUCAUGCCGGGGACUCAUGGGAGACUGCCGGGGUCAACUCGGAGGAAGGUGGGGAUGACGUCAAAUCAUCAUGCCCCUUAUGUCUUGGGCUUCACGCAUGCUACAAUGGCCGGUACAAAGGGCUGCGAUACCGCGAGGUGGAGCGAAUCCCAGAAAGCCGGUCUCAGUUCGGAUUGGGGUCUGCAACUCGACCCCAUGAAGUCGGGGUCGCUAGUAAUCGCAGAUCAGCAACGCUCGCGGUCCGAAUACGUUCCGGGCCUU
rnacentral:rRNA from 1 species